rnacentral:rRNA from 1 species
GCGUUGUCCGGAAUCAUUGGGCGUAAAGCGCGUGUAGGCGGUUCGAUAAGUCUGCUGUGAAAGUCCAGGGCUCAACCCUGGGAUGCCGGUGGAUACUGUCGAGCUAGAGUACGGAAGAGGCGAGUGGAAUUCCCGGUGUAGCGGUGAAAUGCGCAGAUAUCGGGAGGAACACCAAUUGCGAAGGCAGCUCGCUGGGACGUCACUGACGCUGAGACGCGAAAGCGUGGGGAGCAAACAGG